rnacentral:rRNA from 1 species
UACGGAGGGUGCAAGCGUUAUCCGGAUUUACUGGGUUUAAAGGGUGCGCAGGCGGAUAUGUAAGUCAGUGGUGAAAUCUCUAGGCUUAACCUGGAAAUUGCCGUUGAUACUAUAUAUCUUGAAUGUUGUGGAGGUAAGCGGAAUAUGUCAUGUAGCGGUGAAAUGCUUAGAUAUGACAUAGAACACCUAUUGCGAAGGCAGCUUACUACGCAGAUAUUGACGCUCAUGCACGAAAGCGUGGGGAUCAAACAGG